ensembl:lncRNA
GGAAAGCACGUGCUUCCCCUGCAGUCUGCCAGCGUAAGACCUUGUAUUUUGGACACUCUUCUCUCUCUCAUUUUGUUUGAUUUUGUUGGAUCGUUGCCGCUGUUUGUUUUUUUUUUUUUUUUUCUUUUCUUUUAGACCCAUCUGCUAUCUCCCUGCCCUUCCCCCUGUCCCGGAGCACGGCCCACAAGUGCCUUGCCUCGUUAGUCAUGGUCCGGGGCCAGCCGCACCGCAAAAGAUGACCUUUUUGCAGGUAAAUGCACUGGAGAGGAACAAUGAGGUCAAAUAAGUGCUAGAAGCAAAAGUGUCUCAGUUGUGAUUCUGCCACUGCUUGGAUUUUCCCCGUGAAACUCAAGCCUUGGAAUUUUGGAGGGAAAGAAUGUUGCAGACGCUGAGGUAAAAGGAUCCAGCAAGGCCAUGGUCCUGCCACCAUCUACCCAGAGAACUGUCCAAGUAGAAACAGAGUACCACAUCUUAACAGGAAAGAAAAAAAAUCGGACCUGGACUGUAGAUGAAAUGCAAAGCUAUAGAGAUACAAGAGUGAAGUCUAAAGGGAGGUAUCGUUGCUUCCUCUAGCUACUGUAAAUGAAUGAGCAGUAUGGAAAUGAAUGGAAAAGCGUUACAUGAGCACAGGUAGACUAUAAGCUUUCCACUUCAUGUUGAGAAGAAAAACACGAGUGAGGAUAUAGAAAAAAAUAUUCAAUGUGAAUAUCACUGGAAAUACAUCAGUUCUUUUAUUUUUAUGUGUGGUUACACAAGACUCUGCUUGAUUGACUGUGAUUAAACAUGAAGAAAAUCAAGCAAAGCAAUGGAGCAAAGAACAACGCAGGUGCUCUUUUCCUGGGGUUUUUGAAGUAGUGCACUAUGUGCAAAGCCAGUGAGCCACACUUUGUGUUGGCUGGCAGGGGAAACAGGCUUAUUAUAAAAGCCUUGUUAUUGUCAUCUGACAUCUACAGAAAGUUUCAAAGAAUUCUGUUAUCAAAACUAGUGAGCAAGCUUAGGAGAAGCAAAAACGUAACAAAGCAACAGCAACAAAAAGUUAUAUUUGCAAGAGGCGGCUUGGUAUUGAUGGAUCUGUCCUACAUUGAAUUUUUUAAUAGUCCACGAACCCCCAGAGAAGCGGGACAUCUGUUGGAGUACUCUUUCAGUACACAUCUCAAGUGGCCAGCUAACCUGCUGGGGAAUGGAUCAUCCUGCAGAGGGUGAAUCAUGAGCUCACAGAUGAAAGUCACCCAAGAUGACAUCCCAGAUACUAUUGGCAAACAUCAUACAUGCCGAAAUCAAAGAUGAAGCUGUCAAACAGUAAGAGUGGAUGCUGCAGGGAUAGACAACAACAUCAUGUUAAAGAAAACGCUCUCAGAAGCCUUCAGGGGAAGUCACUGCACAAAGUGGAAAGUGUGUUUAAAAAAGAGAGAGAAAAAUUAAAGUAUAUAAGCCAACUCAAGGUAUCUUGAGGUACCAGUAGUGUUUUGUAGAACGUUCGACUCCUGGGAUGCAUAUGUGGAAUGGGAGAUUUGGACUUUAUCUGGAUAUUCUACUGGCUAUUCAGAAGAUGGCCCUGAGAGAGGUGUUGACUCUACUUCUCUUCUGAAGUUGGGUUAUUGCAAAAAGUAUCAUUUCAGGCAAGCUCCGUAAGCCCAUGUCUGAGUCACUGAGAUGUGUUUUGCAAUGGAGGAUUAAGGGAGUUUGCACAUGGAAGCAUGACUGUGCUUGCAGUCCCACAGUAGAAAAGGCAACCAGGAGGGGGGGAAUAAUCAGUAACAAGGAAAGAACUGCCUGGGAUGUCCGGGCUGGCCACCGGUGGAAAAAAAAGAAAGAAUCAGAUGAGAACUGAGUGAAGUAUAAGAAACCAAGCACAGGUAAGAGUAUAUACAUACCCAUAUCUGUUCCUUUAAGUCAGUUUAUCAAAGAACUAAAUAUGCUUUGGCCAAAUAAAUCAGACUUUAAUUUUGUGUUUUUGCAGACUGGCUUUGCUA